GGGGAAUAUUGGACAAUGGGCGAAAGCCUGAUCCAGCCAUGCCGCGUGUGUGAAGAAGGUCUUCGGAUUGUAAAGCACUUUAAGUUGGGAGGAAGGGUUGUAGAUUAAUACUCUGCAAUUUUGACGUUACCGACAGAAUAAGCACCGGCUAACUUCGUGCCAGCAGCCGCGGUAAUACGAAGGGUGCAAGCGUUAAUCGGAAUUACUGGGCGUAAAGCGCGCGUAGGUGGUUCGUUAAGUUGGAUGUGAAAGCCCCGGGCUCAACCUGGGAACUGCAUCCAAAACUGGCGAGCUAGAGUACGGUAGAGGGUGGUGGAAUUUCCUGUGUAGCGGUGAAAUGCGUAGAUAUUUGUAGGAAUGCCGAUGGGGAAGCCAGCCUACUGGACAGAUACUGACGCUAAAGCGCGAAAGCGUGGGUAGCAAACA
rnacentral:rRNA from 1 species